rnacentral:misc_RNA from 1 species
GUUGCUGCUGUGUACAGGAAUCCUUUCAACAAAAUUGCCAUGUUCAAGCGCAUUUUUCGCGCCACCAGUAGUUGAUUGCUUGUAUAAACGUUCCAACAUGCCAGAUAGUGUUAUCAGUCCUGAUAUAGGUAUAGUGUUAUCAGUCCUGAUAUAGGUAUUGUGGGGUCUCUGUAGAUGUACGUGGGUGCAAUGAAUGCAGUGUUAACUGUCGAGGGUGUGGCUUGUUUUUCUGCUUAAAAUUUUAACUGCAAGAAAAUGUGUAUAUUACUCUGGUUGAAAGGAAA